rnacentral:rRNA from 1 species
GUCUAUUAGAAAUUGUUUAUAGUCUAGCCUGCUCACUGACAUAAAGUGUUAAAUAGCCGCGGUAUCUUGACCGUGCAAAGGUAGCAUAAUCAUUAGUUUCUUAAUUGGGAACUUGUAUGAAUGGUUGGACAAAGAAAAAUCUGUCUCUUGCACUGAAAUUGAAUUUAACUUCUAAGUGAAAAGGCUUAGAUUAUCCAGAGGGACGAUAAGACCCUAUAAAGCUUUAUAAAUUUAUUAAUUUCGUUUAUUUUUUAUUAUAAUAAUGAUGAUAAGAAAAUUUAUUUGGUUGGGGCAACCGAAGUAUAAUUUUAAAUAACUGCUAUAAUUUAAUACAAUGAUUUUUGUCUUAUACGAUAAUUGAUCCUCAAAGAGAUUAAAGACCAAGUUACUUUAGGGAUAACAGCGUAAUUUAUCCUGAGAGUUCUUAUCAAAGGAAAAGUUUGCGACCUCGAUGUUGAAUUAAAAUGUCUACCUAGUGCAGCAGCCAGGAAAGAAGGUCUGUUCGACCUUUAAUUUUUUACAUGAUUUGAGUUCAGACCGGCGUGAGCCAGG